CCUACGGGCGGCAGCAGUGGGGAAUAUUGCACAAUGGGGGAAACCCUGAUGCAGCAACGCCGCGUGAGGGAGGAAGUAUUUCGGUGUGUAAAGCUCUAUUAGUAGGGGAUUGAAAAGGAGGUACCUGACAAAGAAGUCCCGGCUAACUAAGUGCCAGCAGGCGCGGUAAUACGUAGGAGGCGAGGGUUAUCCGGAUUUACUGGGUUUAAAGGGAGCGUAGACGGAAAGGCAAGUCAGAAGUGAAAACCAAAGGCUCAACCAUAAGAUUGCUUUUGAAACUGGCAAACUUGAGUACAGGAGAGGUGAGAGGAAUUCCUGGUGUAGCGGUGAAAUGCUUAGAUAUUACGAAGAACUCCAAUUGCGAAGGCAGCUUACUGGACCGCAACUGACAUUGAUGCUCGAAAGUGUGGGUAUCAAACAGGAUUAGAUACCCUUGUAGUC
rnacentral:rRNA from 1 species